rnacentral:tRNA from 1 species
GCCGAGGUGGCGAAACUGGCAGACGCACUGGCUUCAGGAGUCAGCGGCCGCAAGGCCAUGGGAGUUCAAGUCUCCCCCUCGGCA